rnacentral:rRNA from 1 species
UACAGAGGUGGCAAGCGUUGUUCGGAAUUACUGGGCGUAAAGGGCGCGUAGGCGGUCUUGCAAGUCCUGUGUGAAAUCCCUCGGCUCAACUGAGGAACUGCACAGGAAACUGCUUGGCUUGAGUUCGGGAGAGGGAAGCGGAGUUCCGGGUGUAGCGGUGAAAUGCGUAGAUAUCCGGAGGAACACCGGUGGCGAAGGCGGCUUCCUGGACCGACACUGACGCUGAGGCGCGAAAGCUAGGGGAGCAAACGGG